rnacentral:rRNA from 1 species
GUGUCAGCCGCCGCGGUAAUACGUAGGGGGCAAGCGUUGUCCGGAUUUAUUGGGCGUAAAGAGCGUGUAGGCGGCCAGACAAGUCCGUUGUGAAAACUAGAGGCUUAACCUCUAGACGUCGAUGGAAACUGUUUGGCUAGAGUCCGGAAGAGGAGAAUGGAAUUCCUGGUGUAGCGGUGAAAUGCGCAGAUAUCAGGAAGAACACCCGUGGCUAAGGCGGUUCUCUAGUACGGUACUGACGCUGAGACGCGAAAGCGUGGGGAGCGAACAGGAUUAGAUACCCUGGUAGUCCACGCCGUAAACGAUGGGUGCUAGGUGUGGGGGGUGUCGACUCCCUCCGUGCCGAAGCUAACGCAUUAAGCACCCCGCCUGGGGAGUACGGCCGCAAGGCUAAA